UACGUAGGGGGCUAGCGUUGUCCGGAAUCAUUGGGCGUAAAGCGCGUGUAGGCGGUCCGGUAAGUCCGCUGUGAAAGUCGGGGGCUCAACCCUCGGAUGCCGGUGGAUACUGUCGGGCUUGAGUACGGAAGAGGCGAGUGGAAUUCCUGGUGUAGCGGUGAAAUGCGCAGAUAUCAGGAGGAACACCGAUUGCGAAGGCAGCUCGCUGGGACGUUACUGACGCUGAGACGCGAAAGCGUGGGGAGCAAACAGG
rnacentral:rRNA from 1 species